AUAAGUGUUGGUGUCGAAAACAUACAACAACACUUCAAACAAGAGAGGUAUUUAUGCUUCAUAGAGGGUAAUGCAAAAGAAGCAACAUGAAGUUUAAUAGGGCCAUGCAACCUUCGUGGUUGCUAAAUGAAGUGCAAAAGUUUUAUCUAUAUAUCAAAAUGUUUAAGGGGUCGCAGCCAAUAAAUUGAAGUAACACACAGAAAAUAUAAACGGAUAAGUUAUAGUUAGUUUCCUCUAUGCUACUGUUUGCUAUCUUAUGUUAUUUUCUGUGAUUAGUCCCAUUUAGCAAUAAUUACUAGUAGCCAUGCAUGUAACAGCACACUAUAUGUGCAGAUGUAUCAUCCACUGGUAUUAACGAGAAUCAUUCAAUCGUGUUCAGUAUUUUAAAUUUUCUCUUCAUAACUUAACUUUCAAUCUCUUUUCUCUUCAUUCUUCAUCAACUGCCGUAUACCAUCAGAAAAACAUUUGAAGAAAUUAUAUGAACC
rnacentral:lncRNA from 1 species